rnacentral:tRNA from 1 species
AGAAAAGUAAGCUAAACUAAGCUAAUGGGUUCAUACCUCAUUUAUAGAAACAAUUCUCUUUUCCA